UAUGGCUCUGCAGCUGACCCGAACUAAAACUACAACUCCCAGCAUGUUAGACUUUAUAGUUCUACAGUUUAGGUUACGGUGUAACACGCUGGAAGGUGUAGUUUUGGUUCGGGUGUGUUUGAGUGCAUCUGUGGGGCUCUUGGUCGGCGGGUGAGUAUGAAGGGGGUGGGAUUCUGGGGGUGCAAUGUGGUGCGAGUGGCCAGAAGCCAGUAAAAAAAAAAAAAAAAUAUGGCACAACUGGUGGCGCAGUAUCCGGCGAAAGUCUGCAUCCGUGCCUGCGCCUUACGACAGAAUGAAAUAAAAAUAAGGGGGAAGUCUGUCUGUCCAUGCUAGCCUGAUACAGGGUUAAAUCUAGCCCCGACCAAUUAUGAGAACAAGUAGCGAGAGCCACACACUCCUCUCCUUGCUUGUUAAAGAUGUAAUCCACUGGCGAGCGUUCGGAAAUAAAUGUUCCAAACGCUGUUUUACCGCUGCAGAGGUCGGCCAUGCCCCCUCAAUGCAAGUCUAUGGGAAGGGAUGUGAUGGUCGUGUCUGACACCCACAGCGCGAAAACAGCAUUCGGAACAUUAAUGUCCAAACACUGACCAGGGAGUACCAUGCACACUUAUCCUGUCUCCCUCUCGGGAUCAUUCAGGCGCUGACACUUAGACCCCACAGAUAAAAAAAAAAGUCUCUACAACAUUGCAUUUUUUUCAUUCAUUUUAUUGUGUGACAGGUACUAUUUUAGGAAUUGCACACAACAUAAUUGCAGAUUUAUUUAUUUUAAUGGAUGGACAAUGGGGGUGGGGCAAAACAUGAACUACACACAUCCAGCACCCCCUAGGCGUGGAGUUUACUUUUUAUGCAUUUGAUCAAAUUGCGCAAACUAUACCACACCCCCUCAAAGUGCAAAAAUACAACUGACAAAGCAAUGGUAAACUCUAAAAACACAGAAACAACACAAAAAUAAUGCGAGUGUAAAGUCCUUCUUAGCUGUAAACUAUUGCACAAACCGAUGAUGAAUGUCCUCACUAUAACAGGGUCUGAUCUGUCUCCUAUCACGUGCAACCACAUUCCUGCUCUAUUAGGAGAUGAAGGCCGUCACGUGAUUGGUGGCCAGGCUCACACUAGAACCAGAGACUAUGGCGGCGGCUCCUAUUCAGGCCGCUACAAUAUGUCCUGUACAGGAAUGACUGUGCUCCAAUGCACAAAGCAAGUUCCAUAAAAACAUGUUUUUGAAUUUGGUGUUGUAAAACAUGACUGGCCUUCACAGAUGCCGAACUUUAACCCCAUCAAGCACCUUUGGGAACAACCAAAAUGAAAAAUGCGGGCCAGACCCCCAACGUCGACAUCUGACUUCAUAAAUGGUCUUCUGGAUAAAUGAGAAAAAAUUCACACAGACUCCAAAAUCUUCUAGUAUAUUUUCCCAGAAGAGUGGAAACUUUUAUAACUACAUAGGGGGGGGGGGACCAGCUCCAUAUUAAUUCCCAUGGAGUUAGAAUAGGAUGUCCUACAAGCUCCUCAGAAGAUUCCAGAUGGCCACUAUAUGGAGAAGAUGAUUUCCAUGACCGACGCGAUAAUAAACAUAGCGGUUUGUAAAUUCACAGACAGAUAUGAAAAGGAUUUAUGGUGACCAUGGAGACCAACUUCAAAGCUAAAAAUAGACAAAAAACAGAAGAACCUAGGGAAGCCUGGUUACGGUGUUUUCCCAAGUAAUUCUACAGAAAAUCUGACCCAUAAUCCGCAUGGAAACACACCAGAAAAUCCAUACCAGUUGACAUGCUAUAGAAAGAUAUGUCAUCCUAAACCACUCUCCCUUCCCCAAGCUGUUAAAAGAAGAUUCAUGUGGAUGCACGUUGGAAGGCAGAGUCACAGUUCAUUACCUGGGAAAUAACCGUCAUCUUUCAUGGCUUAUGUUGGCCUGGACAUUUAUCAAUGACAUGCACGUUGUACAUCCUGAAUAAUUCUUGUUUAUUCUAAACUCUGUAAAUGAGCUUUGAAUGUUUCUCUGGAGAUUACACAUAUUCUGAAGGGAUUCAGAUGUUGGUUGGUGCAAAAUGCAAAUUCCUCCUGUUAAACAUGACUGAAGAGUAUUUAGCAUUGCCGCAGACCUUGAACUCCCAUCCGUCAAGUCAGAUAAUGAGUCCAGUCGAGGGUAAGCGCCUUGUACCGCUCCAAGCUCCCUAUUCUUAAUUCCAAGCUGACUUAAGUGAUAUAGCACAUCUGGCUACUUAAUGAGAGAUACAUUACAGGAAAGUUAGUGUUUUACUGGUGCUUGAUAAAACAUAUGGACUCAUCAAUGCUGUUCACUAUGUCUUCUCCCUUGGUCGUCGGUAUUACCCACAUAUGACAACUUUAGUCCAGUGGUAUGGUGAUGAAUUCUAAAAGAAACAUGGGGACAAAUUCUAAAAGAAACAGUAUAAACUGAAGAAUCCCAGGAACAAACUUGUGGUUGUUUUUUUAUGCUUUUCCACCAUAACUAUUGCCAGGAUCACGAAACGCACAUUCUAUUGAUUUAUUGUCUUGUACUCUGGGUCAUUUGCACCAAAAAUUCAUUUGCAUCUUCAUCCUAAUCAUCUGUCAUUAGUUUAUGGUGGUCUUUACUAACAUCCCUGCCUAGAAUGUUCUAUAAUUUUUAUAUACCUGUCUUUCUGGCCUGCAUGCAACCACUGACUGCAACACCUACUAUCUAACCUUCAGCACUAGAUGGUCAAUUCAAGCAUUCUCACUGCCUUCAUAUAUAGGGUCAUAUAGUAGUUGACUAUCUUCUCUGGUUUAGAUUAAAGGGGUACUCCGCCCC